rfam:Micromonospora narathiwatensis strain DSM 45248 genome assembly, chromosome: I
CUUGAUCGAGCCCAACCACAAGGGCUGGUCGUCGCGUCGGUCCUGUCCGUAGGUGGCGAGGAGUGCUUGGGCUUC